rnacentral:rRNA from 1 species
UACAGAGGUCUCAAGCGUUGUUCGGAUUCAUUGGGCGUAAAGGGUGCGUAGGCGGCGCGGUAAGUCGGGUGUGAAAUCUCGGAGCUUAACUCCGAAACUGCAUUCGAUACUGCCCGUGCUUGAGGACUGGAGAGGAGACUGGAAUUUACGGUGUAGCGGUGAAAUGCGUAGAUAUCGUAGGAAGACCAGUGGCGAAAGGCGGGGUCUCUCGGCAGUCCUGACGCGAGGCACGAAGGCCAGGGGAGCAAACGGGAUAGAA